AGCAGCCGCGGUAAUUCCAGCUCCAAUAGCGUAUAUUAAAGUUGUUGCAGUUAAAAAGCUCGUAGUUGAAUUUCGGGAUUAAUAUGCUGGUCGUGCCAUUGGUACGUACUAGUAUUAUUGAUUUCUCCCUUCUGAUGAAUCAUGAUGUCAUUAAUUUGAUGUCAUGGGGAAUCAGGACUGUUACUUUGAAAAAUUAGAGUGUUUAAAGCAGGCUCGCGCUUGAAUACAUUAGCAUGGAAUAAUGAAAUAGGACGUUUGAUUCUAUUUUGUUGGUUUCUAGGAUUGACGUAAUGAUUAAUAGGGAUAGUUGGGGGCAUUAGUAUUCAAUUGUCAGAGGUGAAAUUCUUGGAUUUAUUGAAGACUAACUACUGCGAAAGCAUUUGCCAAGGAUGUUUUCAUUAAUCAAGAACGAAAGUUAGGGGAUCGAAGACGAUCAGAUACCGUCGUAGUCUUAACCAUAAACUAUGCCGACUAGGGAUCGGAUGAUGUUAAUA
rnacentral:rRNA from 1 species